UUUCUCGAGAAAAACGUUUCCUCUGUUCAAAUAUGAAAUAUUCAAACCUACUCUCACCACCGUUUGUCGCUUGUCACAUGACUCACCUCACUCCAAGACAGUUUUCUAGUCAAGAUUUGGCUUACAACGGUUAAUCUCCUUUUCUUAUCAGAUCAAGUAAUUUGAAGAAGAAAGAUUGUACCUGUGGUUUUCUUGCAAGUUCUGUAGUUGUUGCCUUAAAAUUGCUGCUUCUCUCUGCCAAAACUAGCAGAAGUGCAAUGGCACGUAUUAAGGUGGAAUUUCCUUCAUUGGAUGGAGAAUCUUCUUACACCCAUUUUCUACAAGUGUGGAGUAUUUUAAUAACCAUUGUGUUAGCUCUUCGAUAAAAAGGUUUACUUCUUGUUUGAUUAGAGAAGACCACCGCUUAACCUUGGAUUUAAUGGCAAGUUGAUAUAGCUCCUUUUGUGCUGUGGAACUCGCAGUUGAACAUUGAAGGAUGGUUAAUGAAGGAAUACCUUGACUUCUGAUGCUGGAUUCAGCAAUUGAUGAUUCUCCUCUUUUGAUUUGUGAUAUCGGUCAAUUGCAGAUUUCAUGCUGUUGGUGCUUGAGGGGUAAUCAGAAGUUCAUUGUAACGUACCUCAACUUAUUCUUCUCUUGGGGAUGCAAACUCUCUGCAAAUGGUUUAUUGUACCUUGGAAUUAGAGACUCCAAUUUUCUAACAUUGUUGUUACUCUCUCUCAUGGAAAGAGAUUUUUUUGUAAACAUGAUACUCAGAAUGUUGACUAUAUUAUAAGUUAUAAAUGGUUCAGUUUUAUGCAUGAA